CUCCCAACGAGAACAGCUGCCGAAUAUUUAGUUUAAAUUAACAAUAGAUGGCACCAUACGUAACAAAUAAGAAUAACUGAACAUUUCUCUAAUUAUUUACGAUUUUAAAAAUACGUUAACUUUAAAAUAUGCUUAAACUAAUGAAAAAUAUUAUAUUAAAUGUCAAAUUUAAGAUUAUUUUAGCAAUAUCAAUAAAGGUUCGAAAAUACCAAGAAAGCAUUGAUUUCUCUUAAUCUUUCGCCAUCUAGUGGGGAAAUGAAUGUUUCAAAAAUAUAUCACUAGAUGGCAUUUUUUUCAUUUUAUACACUAUCGUCGAACUCAGACUGAUACCGACGCGAAUUAAUAAACAUAGCGUAGUUUGUAUGAGAGCUUUUAUUUACCGCAAUCAAAAACAAGCAAUGUAUGUCGAAUGUAAUAUGUAAACGGUAGUAUAUAUGUUUUGGCUACUACAAACUAUCGGUAAACUCUGACACGAAUAUAUGUUUAUGCAUGAAACAAGGAAAAAACAUUUAUCAUUGAAUUGCCAUAAUACGGCGAUUGCUCCGCCGAUAAUGCACCUGAUUCUGUCAUACGAUCGCAGAAAUUCGAAAGAAAAAGAAACUUUUAUUAACGUUUAGUUCACUGUUAUUGCGACUUAAACAAUCAUUUCAUUUUAGAAUUAUGUAUCAACGUAUUAUUUUUUUAAAUAUAGAAAAAAAAAUUGUUCAGUUAAAAUACUUAUGUUUUAUACGAUAUAUACCUAUGAAUACCUAAUUCAAUGAUCAAAUUGUUAAAAAAUGUGUAAAUAUUCUGCAGAUCAUUACAAAAAUUUGUCGAAACUAAACGCAGGCCUCAAGUGAAGUUUCAAGGAAAAGUUUGUUUAUGUUUACCUACCUACUUAUUUCGCUUUGUUGUUUACCGUUGAGUUGAGUGCGCACCCCAUUUUUGCUUUAAUUUUUAUCUACGACCUGGCACUGAUUAUCGGACCUUUGAAUUGGAUCUUCUUACGAAUACAACUAAUUGGCAUUGAAUCAGGACACCGACAAGUAUAACUAACACGAAAAUAAUUGGCUAUUCACACCGGACUCUGACAUCCUCCGCACACGAUUAUUUUGGCUUUCUUUCACACUGGACUUUACUGGAUCUGAACUGACUAAACGGCACAAAAUGGCACCUACCUGUGCUUAUUUUAAUUGUGAUAAUUCUUGGGGUGAAAAACCUAUGUUUCGAUUCCCUACCGGAGAUCCGCCUCGUUUACAACUUUGGUUACAAAAUUGCGGUAAUAUGACCAUUAGCCAUAUGCCUCAAGAUAAAUUAAGAAACAAACGUAUAUGUGUAGAUCAUUUUGAUAAGAUAUUUAUACAAAAUAAAUUUGGAAAACGACUGAGAUUGUCAAAAUUGGCAGUUCCUAUAAACUAUAGAGAGGAUCAAACUUUAAGCUGUUCGCCUCAUUCACCUGUUCCAUCUACAUCUCAAGGUAACAUAUUUAAUUGUACAAAAAUAUUGAGACAGUUUGCUCAUAUUCUCAAUAUUCAUGACAGCCACGCCAAAGAGAUUCUCUAAUUAUAUUUAUAUUGAUAGCUCUCUCCCUCGGGAUCAGGCCUCCACUCUUGUGAGAAAUUCAGCAUAAAAGUACCCUAUGAGCAAUUUCAAGUUUUAUUCUGCAUAAAAAUAGCCUAAAGAUCCCAAUUACAUUCAACUUUUAUUUAUUCCCUCUGGUUAAUGAUAUAAACAUUUUUUUCUUCAGCACUCACAUCAUAAUAUGUUUCAGUAUACCUUUUGACCAUGUGCUUUAUUGUGUACUUACGUUGUUAUAUUACAGAAAAAAUGAUAUAUACAUUUAUAUUUAGAAAAACUGUAAGCCCUUCUGGCAUGGACCAACACUGUUUGAAUGAGUUUCUUUCGGCAUUUCUUCUCAGCUGUAGUCAUUCCAAAAUGCUAGUAGUUUGUAGCUUUAGUAUUAUUUAAUUUAGAAUAUGAUGUGAAAAAGUGCCUGUGAAGGCCUAAUUUCUAUUUUUGUAAUGUAUUUACUGUUUAGAAGAUGAUGAUGAUUUUGAUUUUUGUAAUGUAUUUACUGUUUAGAAGAAAACUCAUAUGACACCCCUCAUUUCAAGUAACUACAUGAAAUUCUGUUUACUAUUUACUUGUAAUAAUAUCAAAAUAGUAUAUAUAAUGCUAAAAUGUUAGCUAAGAAAGCUAUGUUUGUUUGACAGAUAUAUUAAAUAUUACGUUUAUGGUGCUCACUUCUUAAUAAAAGUUGUUACUAAAUUUUUAUUUUUUUAUGAUGGUUAAAUUUAUUUUUAUAACUUCAUACUUUUUGAAAAUGGACUCUAUCCAACCGACUUUAAAUCUUCGUAUUUAGAACCAGCUCCAUUUUUACAGUCUAUGAUAUAUCAUAAUGAUCCUAAAUAUAUCUAUUUUAUCUAGAUUA